UACGUAGGGUGCGAGCGUUGUCCGGAAUUAUUGGGCGUAAAGAGCUUGUAGGCGGUUUGUCGCGUCUGCUGUGAAAAUCCGGGCUCAACCCCGGACUUGCAGUGGGUACGGGCAGACUAGAGUGUGGUAGGGGAGACUGGAAUUCCUGGUGUAGGCGGUGAAAUGCGCAGAUAUCAGGAGGAACACCGAUGGCGAAGGCAGGUCUCUGGGCCACUACUGACGCUGAGAAGCGAAAGCAUGGGGAGCGAACAGG
rnacentral:rRNA from 1 species